CCUACGGGAGGCAUCAGUGGGGAAUAUUGGACAAUGGGGGGAACCCUGAUCCAGCCAUGCCGCGUGUGUGAAGAAGGCCCUCGGGUUGUAAAGCACUUUCAGUGAGGAAGAACGCCUGGUGGUUAAUACCCAUCAGGAAAGACAUCACUCACAGAAGAAGCACCGGCUAACUCCGUGCCAGCAGCCGCGGUAAUACGGAGGGUGCGAGCGUUAAUCGGAAUUACUGGGCGUAAAGCGCGCGUAGGUGGCUUGAUAAGCCGGUUGUGAAAGCCCCGGGCUCAACCUGGGAACGGCAUCCGGAACUGUCAAGCUAGAGUGCAGGAGAGGAAGGUAGAAUUCCCGGUGUAGCGGUGAAAUGCGUAGAGAUCGGGAGGAAUACCAGUGGCGAAGGCGGCCUUCUGGACUGACACUGACACUGAGGUGCGAAAGCGUGGGUAGCAAACAGGAUUAGAUACCCCGGUAGUC
rnacentral:rRNA from 1 species